AUUGAACGCUGGCGGCAGGCUUAACACAUGCAAGUCGAGCGGAGAUGAGGUGCUUGCACCUUGUCUUAGCGGCGGACGGGUGAGUAAUGCUUAGGAAUCUGCCUAUUAGUGGGGGACAACAUUCCGAAAGGAAUGCUAAUACCGCAUACGUCCUACGGGAGAAAGCAGGGGAUCUUCGGACCUUGCGCUAAUAGAUGAGCCUAAGUCGGAUUAGCUAGUUGGUGGGGUAAAGGCCUACCAAGGCGACGAUCUGUAGCGGGUCUGAGAGGAUGAUCCGCCACACUGGGACUGAGACACGGCCCAGACUCCUACGGGGGGCAGCAGUGGGGAAUAUUGGACAAUGGGGGAAACCCUGAUCUAGCCAUGCCGCGUGUGUGAAGAAGGCCCUAUGGUUGUAAAGCACUUUAAGCGAGGAGGAGGCUACUGAGACUAAUACUCUUGGAUAGUGGACGUUACUCGCAGAAUAAGCACCGGCUAACUCCGUGCCAGCCGCCGCCGUAA
rnacentral:rRNA from 1 species